GGAUCACAACGCCCUGUAUAGAGCCUGAUUAGGUGUUCUCGAACUCAAAAAAACCUAGCCCGCCCCACAACUCUCCCGACAGCCUGACCCACCUGCCCACCUUCUCCCCACGACCUUCCCAGGAUCCAUCCCACGGCCUUCCACCGAUCCCGCCGCGGCCUCGUCCCGGCGCACCGCCCCCGCUCCCGCCUCCUUCCGACGUGUCGCCGUCCCUGCCUUCUUCGCUGUGCCGCCGCCCCUCCCCCCGCGGGCACCUUCCGCACCCGCGUCCACCUUCAUCCGCCACCCGCGUCGACUGCCCCCGCCCCCGAAACCGGUCGACGCGCCGCCUCCGCCCGUGGAUCCGGCCAGGGUGCCUCCUCCUCCUCGGCCGCUGCGCUGCUUCCACCCCCCGUAUCCGGCCUCCACGACGCCUCCUACCCUAGAUCUGCCUGCGGGACAGCUCCCGUCGUGCACACCUCCCCAAACCACCUUCCACCAUGCGCGCCCUUCCCGGAAAUCUUGCUGCCGCGCGCGCCUUCCCUGGAUCCCCCGCCUAGCCGGAUCCCGCUUCAGCCGUCGCAAGCCUCCACGGAUCCCGUCGGCGCCCUCCCUUCGGCGUGCCCCUGGAUCCCGCCGUCACAUCCUGCCGGCAUGCCCCUGUCCCCCCACUGCUGCUAGCCACCGCGGCGCACACCAGAUUCGUCCGCCGCCAUGGACAGCCACCUGCUAGGCGAAUCACCAGCAUCUUCGUACUAGGAAAAAAACUCUAGCAGUGUUCAGUUAUUCUGAUUUCUUUCAGCAGUUCAAUGUAUGUUACACAAGAAGAAGAAACUAACAGUAGGUUGUAGAUGUUCUGUUUUGUGAUUUUCGUAGACUUGCAGCAAUUUAGAUGUUUGCAAGUCAAACAUAGUUCUCUUUGCUUCUGUUGAUUUUCUUGGCACAUCAGGAUUGUACUCUUUGGCAGGUCAAACAGAGUUCUCGUGGUAGGUCAAACAAAGAUGUCUGUGGAGCCGUCUCUGCUAGUCGACAUCCCCAUCUACCACACAUUAUGUUCCUGUUAUCGCCACAAAAACAUAGCACAACAAGACUAAAGUGCUAGUCGUCCACCUCCUCGAGCACCUCGUUGCUUCCUCUUUGCUUUUUGAGAAAUCUACACGAACCCUAUAUUGUGCCAUACUUCUACUAAAUUUAUUGUCCAUCGUGUUCCUGCAGCCUCUCACUCAUAUUCGUGUAUCUCAUUUCAUAGCUUGGAUUUUGUAACUUGUUAAGUUUAUUGUGCAUAACCUUUAGAAAGAUACCGAAAAAGGUGUGUUAUGGACCUAGUAACUCCUUCCCUUUUUCCAUUCAUGCAUGUUUUUUCUCUUCUACUACAUAUUCUGGUUCAGAAAGAUCAGUUGGUUAUUGUUUCUCUUCUACUACAUAUUCUAGUUCAGAAAGUUCGGCUUCACGCGGGCUGAAAGUUCAGCUGGUGGGGCACUGGCAACAUCGACGUUUCGCUAUGUGGUGUAGGCUAUGGCAGUAGCACCAUUUUCCUCUUAAUUGUACCUUUUACGUUUCUGCUACUGCUAACAGAGGAGAAUAAUGGCCAGCACCGAGCCACUGUUGCUACCGCUUGUGAUUGAUUGCACCACUUACCAGGAAGAAGACAAAACGAAAAAAAAAUGAUGGAGUAAAAGAGAUAAAAAAAGUAGUGUGCAUACAUGGUGUGGAUAACAAAUGUGUGGUGUUUGAGAGGAUAAGGAAUGUAUGC
rnacentral:rRNA from 1 species